rnacentral:tRNA from 1 species
GGGCGCUUAGCUCAGCGGGAGAGCACUACGUUGACAUCGUAGGGGUCACUGGUUCAAUCCCAGUAGCGCCCACCA